rnacentral:rRNA from 1 species
CCUACGGGAGGCAGCAGUAGGGAAUUUUGCGCAAUGGGCGAAAGCCUGACGCAGCAACGCCGCGUGAUCGAGACGCCCUUCGGGGUGUAAAGAUCUUUUAGUGGGGACGAACCUUGACGGUACCAACAGAGGAAGCACCGGCUAACUCCGUGCCAGCAGCCGCGGUAAUACGGGGGGUGCAAGCGUUGUCCGGAAUCAUUGGGCGUAAAGAGUUCGUAGGCGGCACGUAAAGUCUGGUGUGAAAGGCAGGGGCUCAACUUAUGUACGGCACUGGAAACUGGCGAGCUAGAGUGCGGUAGAGGUAAGGGGAAGUCCUGGUGUAGCGGUGAAAUGCUUAGAUAUCAGGAGGAACAUCGGUGGCGUAAGCGCUUUACUGGGCCGUAAUUGACGCUGAGGAACGAAAGCCAGGGUAGCAAAUGGGAUUAGAUACCCUAGUAGUC